AUGGACCAUAAGGAUGAGCACUCCGCCCACCCCGACCAGGAGGUCGAGGAGGAGGAGGACGAGGAGGCCAAGCGCGCCGUCGUGCUCGGCCCCCAGGUGCCCCUCAAGGACCAGCUCGAGCUCGACAAGGAUGAUGAGAGUCUGAGGAGGUGGAAGGAGCAACUGCUUGGGCAGGUGGACACAGAGCAGCUCGGAGAGACUGCGGAGCCCGAGGUGAAGGUGCUGAACCUGACCAUCCUGUCGCCGGAUCGGCCGGACCUGGUCCUGCCCAUCCCAUUCGUCCCCGACGAGAAGGGCUACGCCUUCGCGCUCAAGGACGGCAGCGCCUACAGCUUCCGCUUCUCGUUCAUCGUCUCCAACAACAUUGUGUCGGGUCUCAAGUACACCAACACCGUCUGGAAGACUGGAGUAAGAGUUGAGAACCAGAAGAUGAUGCUGGGGACAUUCAGUCCCCAGGCAGAGCCCUACACAUAUGAGGGUGAAGAAGAGACCACCCCUGCUGGCAUGUUUGCAAGAGGCUCCUAUUCUGCUAAACUAAAGUUUAUUGAUGAUGAUGGCAAGAACUACUUGGAGAUGAGUUACUACUUUGAGAUUAGGAAGGACUGGCCAGCCGUAUGA
rnacentral:rRNA from 1 species